UAGGGAAUCUUCCGCAAUGGACGAAAGUCUGACGGAGCAACGCCGCGUGAGUGAAGAAGGAUUUCGGUUCGUAAAACUCUGUUGUUAGGGAAGAAAAAAUGUAUAGUAACUAUAUACAAAAGAGACGGUACCUAACCAGAAAGCCACGGCUAACUACGUGCCAGCAGCCGCGGUAAUACGUAGGUGGCAAGCGUUGUCCGGAAUUAUUGGGCGUAAAGCGCGCGCAGGUGGUUGAGAAAGUCUGAUGUGAAAGCCCACGGCUCAACCGUGGAGGGUCAUUGGAAACUAAUAAACUUGAGUGCAGGAGAGAAAAGUGGAAGUCCUAGUGUAGCGGUGAAAUGCGUAGAGAUUAGGAGGAACACCGGUGGCGAAAGCGGCUUUUUGGCCUGCAACUGACACUGAGGCGCGAAAGCGUGGGGAGCAAACAGG
rnacentral:rRNA from 1 species